rnacentral:rRNA from 1 species
CAGCCGCCGCGGUAAUGCGUAGGGUGCAAGCGUUAAUCGGAAUUACUGGGCGUAAAGCGUGCGCAGGCGGUUUGUUAAGACAGAUGUGAAAUCCCCGGGCUCAACCUGGGAACUGCAUUUGUGACUGGCAAGCUAGAGUGUGGCAGAGGGGGGUGGAAUUCCGCGUGUAGCAGUGAAAUGCGUAGAUAUGCGGAGGAACACCGAUGGCGAAGGCAGCCCCCUGGGCCAACACUGACGCUCAUGCGCGAAAGCGUGGGGAGCAAACAGGAUUAGAUACCCCGGUAGUCCCUGUCUCUUAUAC